CCCCUAACACACACUAGUGCACCGGAUGUAUGCAAGUGUGCACACGUGUGCAGAUCUGGGUGUCCACACACCUGCAUGUUCGGAGGCACUCUGCAAGGUUUGGGAGGGGAACAGGAAGGGCAGCUCUGCUUUUAGGGGGCAAUGACCCCACCUUUCAGAAACCGCAGUCUCAGAGACACCCUCGCAGCGGGCUCGUCUCUGAUAAACACGGCUGCUCUGGCUUACGAUGCUGCUGACUUCCCCUCUCCUGUCUUCCAGACUUCGGAAAGCCCGGGCAGCCUUGCCUCCUCCUGUCCGAUCUCGUCAGCUAACCCAGUCAGGGUGUGAGUCGAGGGUGAAUGACUCUCCCCAGCAGCAUGUUCAAAAGCAUUGAUCAUGCCAAAGGAACAGGCUCUGGAUAGUGGGGUUUCAUCCUGGCAAAGGAUGGAAGGGCCUGGCAGACUUUUCCUUUUCCUGCAGACUGUCAAUCUUUUAGGCUUGAUGGCCACAUACAGUUCCUGUUGCAAAUAUUCAAUGCUGUCGUUGAAUGAAAGCAGCCAUGCGUGCAUGCGUGCAAAGUCAUACGUGACUUCAGUCGUGUCUGACCCUGUGCGACCCUACAGGCUGUAGCCCGCCACGUCCUCUGUCCGUGGGAUUUCCCAGGUAAGAAUACUGGAGUGGGUUGCCAUUCCCUUCUCCAGGGUAUCUUCCCAACCCAGGGAUCCCCAACCCAGGGAUUGAACCCACAUCUCUUAUGUCUCCAGCAUCGGCAGGUGGGUUCUUUACCACUAGCGCCACCUGGGAAGCCCGGAACACAGCCGUAAACAGUACUCAAAUGAAUGAGCCUGGCUGUGUUCCAAUAAAACUUUAUUUACAAGAGCAAUCCAUGGGCCAGAGUCAGCCCACUGGUUGGAGUUUGCUGGUCCGUGGUCUAGACUCCAAGUUCCUUAAAGGCAAAGGCCUGGUUAUAUUUCAGCCAUCCAUCUCUAAGUCUCCCUCCAAGCUUGGCUGAGACGGAGGGAAAUCUCAGCAGAUGAUAGCUGGCUCUGACUCGCUCUCUCCAUCUGCCCUUUCAAUUUCUUUCCCUCUAUCUCCCUCGAACCACUGCAGUGUCACCAGGUCUCAGCUUUUCAGAAUCCCAGGGCAAUCAGGCAAGGAAAAGAACCUCUCGCUCUGGCAAUCAGCUAAUUGAAGUCACUCUUACAGGGCACUCAGCCAGAGAAGGAAGCCUUGCAGUUAAUUCAUCCUGUCUCUCAAGGCUUAACCCAACCUGGGAGAAGCAUUAAAUAGAGGGGCCAAGGAAGCAUCAGGGAGAGGCCACGCUGCUGCUGUAGCCAUGCUUCUGCUCAGGCAUCCACAGCCCUGAGCCAGGUUUUCCUCUUCUGCCAUUCAUCCACACACUACUGCGAUAUUUCCUGAGCCCCAGGAUGCACUAGGCCCAGAGGGCGCAGCAAAUGGUCUAACUGGAGAGACAGAAACUAACACUGGCACCGUCGCUGGCACAUGGAAAAUAGCCCGCAAAUUGUUACUGUGCAAAUGACCAGUUGAACAAGUGUUGGGGAUAAGGCUUGAUUCUUCCAGCAGCAAACAGGCACAUUGUCCCAAGGAUAAGCACUCUGGGAUGGAGGCCUUUGGAGGAGAAACUGUGACCUCUUGGCAGAGGGAAGCCCAACCGGUUGGCAGGACUGCUGUCGCCAAAAUGAAAGGUGUGAACAAAGACUCCGAUUUAAAAAUGGGCAGAGGAUCUGAACACACAGUCUUCCAAAGAAGACUUAUCGAUGGCCAACAGAAUGGAAUAUUACUCAGCCGUAAGAAGAAGGAAAUCUUGGACUUCCCUGGUGGUCCUGUGGAUAGGAGUCCACCUGCCAAUGCAGGGGACGCAGGUUCAAUCCCUGGUCCAGGAAGACCCUACUUGCCUGGGGACAACUCAGCCCGUGUGCUUAGCGCCUGUGCGCCACAGCCAGAGAAACCACCCCUCCGAGAAGCCCACGUACUGCGUCUAAGAGUCGCCUAUGCUUGCCACAACUAGAGGACGCCCACACAAUAGCGAGGAAGACCCAGAGCGGCCAAAAUAUAAAUAUAUACAUUUUAAAAAGAAAGAAGUCCUGCCAUGUACCACUGCGUGUAUGGACCUCGAGGGCACUGUGCUAAGUGAAAUAAUCCAGAGAAAGGCAAAUACUGUGUGAUCUCACUUAUAUGUGGAGUCUAAACACACAAAACUGAGCUCGUGGAUACAGAGAAGAAAUCAAUGGUUUCCAGAGGUGGGGGUGUUGAGAGGUGUGAGACAUGAGCAAAGGGCAUCAAAAGGUACAAAUCUCCAUUGUGUACACUAAGAAAGUCGUGGGAUGUAAGGUGUGGUGACGCAUAGUUAGUAACCCUGUGUUGCAUAUUUGACAGUUGCUAGGAGAGUAAGUGUUAGAAGCUCUCAUCACAAGAAAAGAAUUGUAACUGGCGAUGAAAGUUCACUAGACUUACUGCAGUGAUCAUUUCACAAUACAUACAAAUAUUGAAUCAUUAUGUUGUACGCCUGAAACGGAGGCGGGAGGUGGAUGGGCCCCGCAGGGCCAAAGCACUUGGAGAUUUCAUUCCCUGUAUCGAUCCCUCAGAUCGAUACUCUGAGACAAGGAUAGCAAGACAGUCAGAGGAGGAGGCUGGGCCCUGCCUGGACAGAAGAUAGGAGACCACAUACAUUUCGUUCUCGGAGUCAGGAGAAAGAGACUACACUCUCAUUCCCCAGCUACACCUGCACAGAAAGGUCCCGAGGAGGUCAAAAGGGGAGUGAUGCUAAGUCUACCUACCCACACGUCCCUUUGGUGGAAUCCGUCUUGGCUGAGAGGCAUGCAGGCACAUGUGAGAGGAUCCUGAGAUGAACCAAACAUGGGCUCAGAGCCAGGCAAGGCCAGAUAAUUGGCCAAAGAAAACCUGGAAAAAUGCUUCAUAUAAGUGACUCAGAGUACCUCCAUGAGGGUGCGACUCUCUGAGUUCACUCGUGUGUCCAGCCGCACGUAUUCUUUUUCCUGCUAAUAAAUACCUGACUUUUUUCACUCCUUUCUGUCUUUGUGGGAUUUUUCCUGCAAAGCUGAGGGGCCAGGGCCUUUAUACUGACCUCUAUAGUUUGUUUUUGCUUGUACACGGGCUGAGUCAUGUCCAACUCUUUGCGUCCCCGUGGACUGUAGCCCGCCAGGCUUCUCUGUCCAUGGGAUUCUCCAGGCAAGAAUCCUGGAGUGGGAUGCUCUGCCCUCCUCCAGGGGAUCUUCCCAACACAGGGAUCUAACCCGCGUCUCUUGUGUUUCCUGCACUGGCAAGUGGGUUCUUUACCACUAUCGCCCCCUGGGAAGCCCCACCGAUCUAGUGACUAGGAUUUGAUGCUGUCACUGCUGAGACCCAGCCUCAGUCUCUGGGCUGGGAACCAAACCCCUGCUUCAAGCUGCUGCAGGCGAGGCCACCAGAGUUCAAAGCGAAUACAGUGUUAUGCGUCAGUAAUAUUGCCGAUGGGGGUGGGGGAGGAAGGAAGAAAGGCAGGUAUUGAAAAAUGCAGACUUGUCCGCAGGGAGCCCUGCCCAAGGGUCUGCCCCAGAGCCAGAGUCUGUGACAAGUGUCUGGGGCAGGAGUGACCUCAGAGAUGGGGACAUGGAGAGAGCCAGUGGGGGCGCUGUCAGGAGCUUGCCACCAUGAUGUCAAGUCUAAAGCACUUCAGAGACAACAAUGGGAUAGGAACCUGUGUUCGUGUCGAAGCUGCAGUUCCAGAGUAGUUUUCAGUUGCUUUAGUCUGGAAUGCACAGUCCAGCCGGCAUCCUCUCCAAGAAGGCCUCGCUGGCUCCAGCAGCCACGUGGACAAAAGUUUUAUCUUUGGUGUUGAUCAACACCAGAGAUUUUGCUAAUUCACAUAAUGACUUAAAAAUCAGUGGUCUUUCAGAGGUGAAAUCAGUGGCUUGUCAGCCAGCUUAAUGGUUGCUAGCAACAGGCA
ensembl:lncRNA